ACAGCCUUUAGAAAAGGUCGCAAAGACGAAAAUACCCCUUAAGCGUGAGUGUGAGUUGGCACGGAUUAGGGUUUUCAAUAGGGAAAACCCUGGGGCCUAUAAAUAAGAAGGAGAGGGCGGUCUUUGGCCAUAAACUUGUAGUAGAAAAGCUGGUUGGUCAAGAGAGAUCGGCGAAUUGAGAGACGGACGUUGAUUUUGAAAGCUUGAACCAAGAUGAGAGCUAAGUGGAAGAAGAAGCGCAUGAGGAGAUUGAAGAGGAAGCGCCGAAAGAUGAGGCAAAGAUCCAAGUAGGCAAGUAGACUGGGACCAGAUGGUGUUCUCUCCAUCUACCUUCAGUUGGUAGACUGAUGGAUUUUAGGGGAAAGCGUCAUUUAUUAACAGUCUUUUAGUUUUAGUUUUAGCUACCUACUGGUGCUUUUGAGACUAAUGUUCUCCGACUUUGGAUUUUUUGAGUUGUGUUUUGACUUAUAUUUUGUUUUGCUGUUUAAUGGAUUUCUGCACCACAGUAUAUCGUAUUCCCUAA